rnacentral:rRNA from 1 species
GAUGAACGCUGGCGGCGUGCCUAAUACAUGCAAGUCGAGCGAACAGACGAGGAGCUUGCUCCUCUGACGUUAGCGGCGGACGGGUGAGUAACACGUGGAUAACCUACCUAUAGGACUGGGAUAACUUCGGGAAACCGGAGCUAAUACCGGAUAAUAUAUUGAACCGCAUGGUUCAAUAGUGAAAGACGGUUUUGCUGUCACUUAUAGAUGGAUCCGCGCCGCAUUAGCUAGUUGGUAAGGUAACGGCUUACCAAGGCAACGAUGCGUAGCCGACCUGAGAGGGUGAUCGCCCACACUGGAACUGAGACACGGUCCAGACUCCUACGGGAGGCAGCAGUAGGGAAUCUUCCGCAAUGGGCGAAAGCCUGACGGAACAACGCCGCGUGAGUGAUGAAGGUCUUCGGAUCGUAAAACUCUGUUAUUAGGGAAGACCAAAUGUGUAAGUAACUAUGCACGUCUUGACGGUACCUAAUCAGAAAGCCACGGCUAACUACGUG